UGCAAGUCGAGCGCAGGAAACAGAUGACCCCUUCGGGGUGAUUCUGGCGGAAUGAGCGGCGGACGGGUGAGUAACACGUGGGCAACCUGCCUGUAAGACUGGGAUAACUUCGGGAAACCGGAGCUAAUACCGGAUAGUAUUUCCUUUCUCCUGAUUGGAAAUGGAAAGACGGUUUCGGCUGUCACUUACAGAUGGGCCCGCGGUGCAUUAGCUAGUUGGUGGGGUAAUGGCCCACCAAGGCGACGAUGCAUAGCCGACCUGAGAGGGUGAUCGGCCACACUGGGACUGAGACACGGCCCAGACUCCUACGGGAGGCAGCAGUAGGGAAUCUUCCGCAAUGGACGAAAGUCUGACGGAGCAACGCCGCGUGAGCGAUGAAGGCCUUCGGGUCGUAAAGCUCUGUUGUUAGGGAAGAACAAGUACGAGAGUAACUGCUCGUACCUUGACGGUACCUAACCAGAAAGCCCCGGCUAACUACGUGCCAGCAGCCGCGGUAAUACGUAGGGGGCAAGCGUUGUCCGGAAUUAUUGGGCGUAAAGGGCUCGUAGGCGGUUUCUUAAGUCUGAUGUGAAAGCCCACAGCUCAACUGUGGAGGGUCAUUGGAAACUGGGGAACUUGAGUGCAGAAGAGGAGAGUGGAAUUCCACGUGUAGCGGUGAAAUGCGUAGAUAUGUGGAGGAACACCAGUGGCGAAGGCGACUCUCUGGUCUGUAACUGACGCUGAGGAGCGAAAGCGUGGGGAGCAAACAGGAUUAGAUACCCUGGUAGUCCACGCCGUAAACGAUGAGUGCUAGGUGUUAGGGGGUUUCCGCCCCUUAGUGCUGAAGUUAACGCAUUAAGCACUCCGCCUGGGGAGUACGGCCGCAAGGCUGAAACUCAAAAGAAUUGACGGGGGCCCGCACAAGCGGUGGAGCAUGUGGUUUAAUUCGA
rnacentral:rRNA from 1 species